rnacentral:rRNA from 1 species
GACGAACGCUGGCGGCGUGCUUAACACAUGCAAGUCGAACGGCAAGGCCCUGCUUUUGUGGGGUGCUCGAGUGGCGAACGGGUGAGUAACACGUGAGUAACCUGCCCUUGACUUUGGGAUAACUUCAGGAAACUGGGGCUAAUACCGGAUAGGAGCUCCUGCUGCAUGGUGGGGGUUGGAAAGUUUCGGCGGUUGGGGAUGGACUCGCGGCUUAUCAGCUUGUUGGUGGGGUAGUGGCUUACCAAGGCUUUGACGGGUAGCCGGCCUGAGAGGGUGACCGGCCACAUUGGGACUGAGAUACGACCCAGACUCCUACGGGAGGCAGCAGUGGGGAAUAUUGCACAAUGGGCGGAAGCCUGAUGCAGCAACGCCGCGUGCGGGAUGACGGCCUUCGGGUUGUAAACCGCUUGCGCCUGUGACGAAGCGUGAGUGACGGUAAUGGGUAAAGAAGCACCGGCUAACUACGUG